GACGAACGCUGGCGGCGUGCCUAACACAUGCAAGUCGAACGGGGUAAUCCUUCGGGGUUACUUAGUGGCGAACGGGUGAGUAACGCGUGAAGAACCUGCCUUUCAGUGGGGGACAACAGUUGGAAACGACUGCUAAUACCGCAUAAUGUUAUUUGGGGGCAUCCUCGAAUAACCAAAGCUUUAUGUGCUGAAAGAUGGCUUCGCGUCUGAUUAGCUAGUUGGUGAGGUAACGGCUCACCAAGGCGACGAUCAGUAGCCGGACUGAGAGGUUGAACGGCCACAUUGGGACUGAGAUACGGCCCAGACUCCUACGGGAGGCAGCAGUGGGGAAUAUUGCACAAUGGAGGAAACUCUGAUGCAGCCAUGCCGCGUGUGUGAAGAAGGCCU
rnacentral:rRNA from 1 species